rnacentral:rRNA from 1 species
AUACGUAGGGAGCGAGCGUUGUCCGGAAUGAUUGGGCGUAAAGGGCGCGUAGGCGGCCCGGUAAGUCUGGAGUGAAAGUCCUGUUUUUAAGAUGGGAAUUGCUUUGGAUACUGUCGGGCUUGAGUGCAGGAGAGGUAAGUGGAAUUCCCUGUGUAGCGGUGAAAUGCGUAGAGAUUGGGAGGAACACCAGUGGCGAAGGCGACUUACUGGACUGUAACUGACGCUGAGGCGCGAAAGUGUGGGGAGCAAACAGGAUUAGAUACCCUGGUAGUCCACACUGUAAACGAUGAAUGCUAGGUGUAGGGGGUAUCGACCCCUUCUGUGCCGCAGUCAACACGAUAAGCAUUCCGCCUGGGGAGUACGGCCGCAAGGUUGAAACUCAAAGGAAUUGACGGGG